rfam:Prunus persica cultivar Lovell chromosome G4, whole genome shotgun sequence.
UUAUGCCUGGCUCCCUGUAUGCCACAAGCGGAAGCUCAAUCUGGUUCUAGAUUGGCUACUGCGGGUGGCGUACGAGGAGCCAAGCAUAC